UUAGACUACUCUAUAACGCUUGAUGGCUUUAUUAAAUUUUGCCUUUAAUAAUUUUCAGCUGUCAAAUUAGAAAUUAGUCAGUUUCAGCUACUUGGGACAUCCCUGUAAAAAUGAUCGGCAGUUAUUGUGAGGUAAUAACUUAUUUGUGAUAUCUGACUAUAACUAUCCAUCAACAAAGUCCACUUGUUAAAUUUCCGAUAAUUGCGUUUUUUUUAUCUACUGUCAGUUUCUAAAUUCGAUAAUAAGUAUGUGUGUUCCUGUGACGCCGAAAAGAACCCAACAUUAUUUAUGUCGUGGCAAUAGAUUUAACCUUUUUUUAAUUUUCCGUCCGAGUCCGACUCUAGUUGUCCGUGGAUUUCUAAGGGCUGUCACUAGGUGGCUAAAUAUUUCAGUGUGUUUAGGGAUUGAGCUAUUCGACCGUAGUGCGUCCAAGUCCUGACUGCAGAGUCCUGUCUUUUCUUUCCAGGCGGUGUCCGAGAACGUUGGGCGAGGCAUUGCGAGUGAAUUUUCAAGUAACAUGUUCAUCAACGUGUACCAUUUCGUAAAAUGUCGUCUCUUGCUGUACGUUGCACGUUUCGAACAAGAUGAAGUAUUUCCACGCCAUUCGUCUUCGAUCAAGCUGAACCGAAAGUGAACUAAUACAAAGCAACAUAUCGAAGAUCUUGCCUUUCUCCACGUGGUCGCUGCCGUGUCAUGAAGAUGCUGCUGCUGCCUCUUCUAUAUUGCAGGACAAAUGUGAUACAAAGAAGAAAUCUGAAAACGUAAUCAAGUACUUCUCUUCUACUCUUGAUUUGUAAGCUUAACCAAGUAGGUGAGAAGUAUUGAUGUUGAAGACGAUUGAUAUUUUUUCAUACUUCCAUUGAAGACAGCAGUUGUGGAGUCAGUUUGUAAUUGAUCAGAACGGACAUUCCCAUUAACUUUAAAAAGCUGAGAUGCACUUGGCUUCUGCAGACAUGUACUUAGGCCAAUACUUGCUGGAAUUAUAAUCUGUCGGUUCAAUUUGAGUACUAUCCCAUGCAGAUGCUUAAGUUACAUAAAUAUCCCUUCAAUAGUGCAAUUGAUUAUAUAAUUUAAUUUUAAGAUAAGACAAUCCUUAUGAAGAAUUAAACAACAUGACCACGUCUAAGCUUCAUUGCUGUCCUGCAGGAAGUUUUGUUGCAGCCAACUGGCGAAAGAGAGUUAAAAUCAAGCUGAGCUGCAGCCCCUGGAAGCAGUCUACAUUGCUGGUUGCUGGUGUCAUCCUGAAGUGGGGAAAUGUUACCUGAAGUUUAAACAGCAACAAAGACAUAAUGAAAUGGUGACAACGUGAUGCAUCCUACGUAUGUUGGUAAUUUAGGGGCAUGUGUGGAGCAGAAGGAAGAGUGACAUUUUAUUUCUUUCUGGGACGUUGUUCGAGGACGAUUUAGUUAUUUCUUCGUGAUGAUUGCCUUGACGUUUUUCACCAUCUAAAUGGUAACAAACAUCCUUGCCUCAUGUAAUCAUGUAGCCUGCUGUACCUAUCCCAAAAAUGUCGUCCCUUGUUGCAGUUCUAUGAAUAGGUAUUUCCACGCAAUUCGUCCAAACUGAACCGAAAGUGAACCAUUUAAUGCAACAUGUCGAAUAUUUGCCUUUCUCCACGUGGUAGGUGCCGUGUCAUGAAGAUGCGUCUUUGAGAGGGUCACAACUGUAUUGUGAGACACAUGAUGUAAAGAGGGAAAAAUAUAAAGUUUAUUUUCAGGUAAAAGAACCCUUUCCUCAUCUGCUGAAGAAUUUGUUAACAUGACAAAGCCUGAGCCUCAUCAAUGUCAUGCAGGAGGUUUUUGCUGCAGCAGCCAGCUGUUGAAAGGGAGUUCAAACGAAGUUUAGUUGAAUCUCCUGGAAGCAGUCUACAUUGCUGGAUCCUGAAGUUAAACGCAACACAGACAUGCUGUGACAAUGUGAUGCAUCAUUCUUCUGCAUACUGUCAAUGAAGUUGGUGUUUUCCACAAAUUUAGAAGCAAUACUAGAAGAAUAACUGCAAGAAUACUUCUAGAAAUGGAUGGUGGAAAUUUGCCGUGGUUUUGCAGUCUGCCGCCUGUUCAAGCUGAUUGCUAUCCUGGAUUUUGCCUUAGUCCUCGAAAUAGCAGAUGUUGGUGGUAUCCAGAUGGUGCUGUGGCAGUGAAAUUCGGGUUGAAGAUUAAAAUACUUUUGUCUGAUAUGUUUAUCGAUCCUGUAGCGUAUGAUUGAAGUAACCUGAUAUUAAUUUGCUAUUCCAUGUCACAUGUUGCAGCCCAUGUUGGUGAAACCUCUUCGACAUUAAGGUUUUUAUCUGCUGUUGUUGGUUAUGAUAUUAUCUUUAUCCCCAUGAUAUUUAAAUUAUUCCUUACAAAUUGAUGGCCAAACUGCUUAAGUCAAACCUGUAAUCUUGUGUUGUUAUGAUAACUUUACUGUUUAUAUCCUUUCACAUUUCACUUGUAAUCUAUAAAAUUUAAAUAUCACCCAAAUAAAAAAAUACCAAUCAA